CUGCGAAGCGCUCAGUAAAUCAGUUAUUGUCCGUUCGGUCAUAUCAGCCAUGGAUAACUGUGGUAAAUCUAGAGCUAAUACAUAGCAAAUCUCACCAUGUAAAUGGUGGGAGCAUUUAUUAGACUCGACCAACUGGCCUCGGCCAUUUGAUGAAUCCUAAUAACUGAGCAUAUCGAACAUUAAUUUGUCGAUAGUCCGAUCGAAUUUCUGCCCUAUCAACUAGUUGGUGAGGUAGUGGCUCACCAAGGUUGUGACGGGUAACGGGGGAUCAGGGUUCGAUUCCGGAGAGGGAGCCUGAGAAACGGCUACCACAUCUAAGGAAGGCAGCAGGCGCGCAAAUUACCCAAUCCAGACUUUGGGAGGUAGUGACGAGAAAUACCGGAGUGGACCGUAAAAUGGUUCACUAUCGGAAUGAACGUAAUUUAAUACCUUCGAUGAGUAGCUACUGGAGGGCAAGUCUGGUGCCAGCAGCCGCGGUAAUUCCAGCUCCAGUAGUGUAUAUCAAAAUUGUUGCGGUUAAAACGCUCGUAGUUGAAUUACAAAAGCUCUUUGGCGGCCAAAUCUAGGUUUGGUCGUUGUGGGGUUUUUUUAUCGCGAGAGCCAUACGUGGGAUUAAAUUCUUGUGUGUGGUCACUUGCGAGGUGUGCCUUGAAUAAAGCACAGUGCUCAAAGCAGGCGAACGCUUGAAUGUUAUAGCAUGGAACGAUUAUGUUGAUCUUGUCGACUGUUGGUUGUUGACAGUGGUCUCGAUUAAAAGGGACAUUUGAGGGCGUUAGUACUUGGUGGCGAGGGGUGAAAUCCUUUGACCCAUCAAAGACUAACUAAUGCGAAAGCAUUCGCCAAGAGUGUUUUCAUUAAUCAAGAACGAAAGUUGGAGGUUCGAAGACGAUCAGAUACCGUCCUAGUUCCAUACAGUAAACUAUGCCAACAUGGGAUUAGCCCGGUUUAAUCCAGGUUGGGCCCUCAGUGAAAACGUAGUGUUUCGGCUUUGGGGAGAGUGCUCACGCAAGUGACAAAUUUAAAGAAAUUGACGGAAUGGCACCACCAGGAGUGGAGCCUGCGGCUUAAUUUGAUUCAACACGGGGAAACUCACCAGGUCCAGACAUUGGUAGGAUUGACAGACUGAGAGAUCUU
rnacentral:rRNA from 1 species